rnacentral:rRNA from 1 species
AUUGAACGCUGGCGGCAGGCCUAACACAUGCAAGUCGAGCGAGUGGCGGACGGGUGAGUAAUGUCUGGGAAACUGCCCGAUGGAGGGGGAUAACUACUGGAAACGGUAGCUAAUACCGCAUACCAUCGGAUGUGCCCAGAUGGGAUUAGCUAGUAGGUGGGGUAACGGCUUACCUAGGCGAUGAUGCAUAGCCGAGCUGAGAGGCUGAUCAGCCACACUGGAACUGAGACACGGCCCAGAAUCCUACGGGAGGCAGCAGUGGGGAAUAUUCCACAAUGGACGAAAGUCUGAUGCAGCAACGCCGCGUGUGUGAAGAAGGUCUUCGGGUCGUAAAGCACUGUUAUUGGGGAGGCGUUAAUCGAAGAGGAAGCCACGGCUAACUCCGUGCCAGCAGCCGCGGUAAUUC